GUCGGUGUCGUACAGCGGUCAGUACCUCCGUCUCUCGAACGGACGACACGGGUUCGAUUCCCGUCACCGAUA
rnacentral:tRNA from 1 species